UACGAAGGGUGCAAGCGUUACUCGGAAUUACUGGGCGUAAAGCGUGCGUAGGCGGUUUGUUAAGUCUGAUGUGAAAGCCCUGGGCUCAACCUGGGAAUGGCAUUGGAUACUGGCAACCUAGAAUGUGGUAGAGGGUGGCGGAAUUCCCGGUGUAGCAGUGAAAUGCGUAGAUAUCUGGAGGAACACCGGUGGCGAAGGCGGCAUCCUGGACCAACACUGACACUGAGGAGCGAAAGCCAGGGGAGCAAACGGG
rnacentral:rRNA from 1 species